UACGUAGGGUGCAAGCGUUGUCCGGAAUUAUUGGGCGUAAAGAGCUCGUAGGCGGUUUGUCGCGUCUGCUGUGAAAACGCGAGGCUCAACCUCGCGCCUGCAGUGGGUACGGGCAGACUAGAGUGCGGUAGGGGAGAUUGGAAUUCCUGGUGUAGCGGUGGAAUGCGCAGAUAUCAGGAGGAACACCGAUGGCGAAGGCAGAUCUCUGGGCCGUAACUGACGCUGAGGAGCGAAAGCAUGGGGAGCAAACAGG
rnacentral:rRNA from 1 species